AAGCGGAGGAAAAGAAACUAACAAGGAUUCCCUUAGUAACUGCGAGUGAAGAGGGAAAAGCUCAAAUUUAAAAUCUGGCAGUAUUUUGCUGUCCGAGUUGUAACCUAGAGAAGUGUAACCUGUGCUGGACCGUGUAUAAGUUUCCUGGAAUGGAGCAUCACAGAGGGUGAGAAUCCCGUCUUUGACAUGGACUACCAGUGCAUUGUGGUUGUGCUCUCAACGAGUCGAGUUGUUUGGGAAUGCAGCUCUAAAUGGGUGGUAAAUUCCAUCUAAAGCUAAAUAUUGGCGAGAGACCGAUAGCGAACAAGUACCGUGAGGGAAAGAUGAAAAGAACUUUGGAAAGAGAGUUAAACAGUAUGUGAAAUUGUUGAAAGGGAAACGUUUGAAGUCAGUCGCGUUAGCUGGGGAUCAGCCUGACAUUGUUGGGUGCACUUCCUGGUUGACGGGCCAACAUCAGUUUUGACUGCCAGAAAAAGGCCAAGGGAAUGUGGCACCUUUGGGUGUGUUAUAGCCUUUGGUCAUAUAUGGUGGUUGGGACUGAGGAAUGCAGUGUGCCGAAAGGCCGGGUUUCGACCACGUUCACACUGAGGAUGUUGGCAUAAUGGCUUUAAGCGACCCGUCUUGAAACACGGACCAAGGAGUCUAACAUGCAUGCGAGUGUUUGGGUGGAAAACCCUUACGCGUAAUGAAAGUGAAAGUUGAGAUCCCUGUCGUGGGGAGCAUCGACGCCCGGACCAGAACUUUUGGGACGGAUCUGCGGUAGAGCACGUAUGUUGGGACCCGAAAGAUGGUGAACUAUGCCUGAAUAGGGUGAAGCCAGAGGAAACUCUGGUGGAGGCUCGUAGCGAUUCUGACGUGCAAAUCGAUCGUCAAAUUUGGGUAUAGGGGCGAAAGACUAAUCGAACCAUCUAGUA
rnacentral:rRNA from 1 species